rnacentral:lncRNA from 1 species
CUUUUCGAGGUAGGAGUCGACUCCUGUGAGGUAUGGUGCUGGGUGCAGAUGCAGUGUGGCUCUGGAUAGCACCUUAUGGACAGUUGUGUCCCCAAGGAAGGAUGAGAAUAGCUACUGAAGUCCUAAAGAGCAAGCCUAACUCAAGCCAUUGGCACACAGGCAUUAGACAGAAAGCUGGAAGUUGAAAUGGUGGAGUCCAACUUGCCUGGACCAGCUUAAUGGUUCUGUCCUCAUUUGUAUUCCAGCUCCUGGUAACGUUUUUAUCCAUGGAUGACUUGCUUGGGUAUGGAGAGUCGGCUUGACUACACUGUGUGGAGCAAGUUUUAAAGAAGCAAAGGACUCAGAAUUCAUGAUUGAAGAAAUGCAGGCAGACCUGUUAUCCUAAACUAGGGUUUUUAAUGACCACAACAAGCAAGCAUGCAGCUUACUGCUUGAAAGGGUCUUGCCUCACCCAAGCUAGAGUGCAGUGGCCUUUGAAGCUUACUACAGCCUCAAACUUCUGGGCUCAAGUGAUCCUCAGCCUCCCAGUGGUCUUUGUAGACUGCCUGAUGGAGUCUCAUGGCACAAGAAGAUUAAAACAGUGUCUCCAAUUUUAAUAAAUUUUUGCAAUCCA